AUGGUUAAGCUACUAAGAGCACACGGAGGAUGCCUAGGCGCUAGGAGCCGAUGAAGGACGUGGCGAACAACGAAACUGCCUCGGGGAGCUGUAAGCAAGCUUUGAUCCGGGGGUGUCCGAAUGGGGAAACCCAGCUGGGGUAAUUUCCAGUUAC
rnacentral:rRNA from 1 species